rnacentral:rRNA from 1 species
UUGAACCGCAUGGUUCAAGGAUGAAAGACGGUUUCGGCUGUCACUUACAGAUGGACCCGCGGCGCAUUAGCUAGUUGGUGGGGUAAUGGCUCACCAAGGCGACGAUGCGUAGCCGACCUGAGAGGGUGAUCGGCCACACUGGGACUGAGACACGGCCCAGACUCCUACGGGAGGCAGCAGUAGGGAAUCUUCCGCAAUGGACGAAAGUCUGACGGAGCAACGCCGCGUGAGUGAUGAAGGUUUUCGGAUCGUAAAGCUCUGUUGUUAGGGAAGAACAAGUGCGAGAGUAACUGCUCGCACCUUGACGGUACCUAACCAGAAAGCCACGGCUAACUACGUGCCAGCAGCCGCGGUAAUACGUAGGUGGCAAGCGUUGUCCGGAAUUAUUGGGCGUAAAGGGCUCGCAGGCGGUUUCUUAAGUCUGAUGUGAAAGCCCCCGGCUCAACCGGGGAGGGUCAUUGGAAACUGGGAAACUUGAGUGCAGAAGAGGAGAGUGGAAUUCCACGUGUAGCGGUGAAAUGCGUAGAGAUGUGGAGGAACACCAGUGGCGAAGGCGACUCUCUGGUCUGUAACUGACGCUGAGGAGCGAAAGCGUGGGGGAGCGAACAGGAUUAGAUACCCCUGGUAGUCCACGCCGUAAACGAUGAGUGCUAAGUGUUAAGGGGGUUUCCGCCCC